ACCUGCGGAAGGAUCAUUGUCGUGACCCUGAACAAAACAGACCGUGAACAUGUCAUCUAUUCUGCCGGUUGAUGGGACUUGCACCCGUCUAUCGGUCUAGGCCACCGACCUUCUUUCUGGAGGGACGGGGAGCCAAAAGAACCCACGGCGCCGUAUGGCGUCAAGGAAAACUACUAUUGCCUUGCCCGGGGCCACGAGCCGGCUUGCCGGACGCUCCCCGCGCAGCGAUGCUAUGGAAAUAUUUUCACAUGACUCUCGGCAACGGAUAUCUCGGCUCUUGCAUCGAUGAAGAACGUAGCAAAAUGCGAUACCUGGUGUGAAUUGCAGAAUCCCGUGAACCAUCGAGUUUUUGAACGCAAGUUGCGCCCGAGGCCUUUUGGCCGAGGGCACGUCUGCCUGGGCGUCACGCCAAAAGACACUCCACACCAAUCCCGGUCUGGACGUGGUGUUUGGCCCCUCAUCCCGCAUGGGUAUGGUGGGCCAAAGAUGUGGCUGCCGGCGGUGCCGAUCACAGCACAAGGUGGAUGACACAAGUUAUUCUCGGUGUUAUGAUCCGGACAAAGUGCCGGUCGUGUUAUGGCCCUUCUUGGACCCAUGGUUUGGAGCGCAUGUCGCUCGGACCGCGACCCCAGGUCAGUCGGGACUACCCGCUGAAUUUAAGCAUAUCAAUAAGCGG
rnacentral:rRNA from 1 species